UUCUAAACGAGUUUCAUCUCCUGGGAAAUCACGUCUUGGUCACCGUAAACGUAAGAUUGAUGUCGAUGAGACAUAUGUCCCAGAUUCCACUGAAGAUGGUGUUGCUGCUGGCAAGUGCAAUGCUAAGAAGAGUCGUACAGAUGUGGUUAGCGAUGAAUCAGACUUUGAAGCUCCUGCCAAGGUCAAGAAAGUUGGUAGGAAGCCAGGCCCUUCUAAA